UGUGAAGGGAACUGAGAGCUAUGUGGUGAAGAAUGAGGACAAAACAGCAAUGUACAAGGGCUGUGAUGACUGUAAGGAAUUCUUUGCUGGAGAAACACGGCCCGUUGUCAGAUAUGAUAAACUGCACAUUUGCGAACUGAUAGAUAUUGUGAAUAAGGUGUUCUAAUGGAUCCAGUACAUUCUUCAUCGAGUUCUCUACUGUAGUGAUGGAGGAUACUGAUACUUGAGUUGCUGGAUUCUCAGGUAUGAUAAGGAGUUUUUGAUUAUCAUUUACGAAUUGUUUCCAUUCUUCCACUGUGAAUUCUUUAUUGGGAUCAAUCAAAUUGUCAAGGUUUUCAAUUUUUAAAUCUUUUAACGGCAAUCUAAUGAUGUCAGUUGGUUUGGCAUUGUAGUCUCUUGUUAAAAAAUCCGCAAUAUUGUUUUUUGUAGAAAUGAAUCUCAUCUUUAGAUUAUGAUAUUCACUUGAAAUUUUAAGUCCCCAUCUGCAUAAUUUAGAUGAUGAUUGAGAUACUGGGUUGGAAUAAAGUAGGAAAAGGGGUCUGCUGUCUGUUAGUAGGAGGAGGUCACUUUGACCUAUCAAUGGUUUGAGAGCUGCAAGGGCAGCUACAAUGCAAUAUAGUUCUUUUAAGGCGAUGUC